rnacentral:rRNA from 1 species
AUUGAACGCUGGCGGCAGGCCUAACACAUGCAAGUCGAACGAGUGGCGGACGGGUGAGUAAUGUCUGGGAAACUGCCUGAUGGAGGGGGCUAACUACUGGAAACGGUAGCUAAUACCGCAUACCAUCGGAUGUGCCCAGAUGGGAUUAGCUAGUAGGUGGGGUAAAGGCUCACCUAGGCGACGAUCCCUCGCUGGUCUGAGAGGAUGCCCAGCCAGACUGGGACUGAGACACGGUCCCGAUUCCUACGGGAGGCAGCAGUGGGGAAUAUUGCACGAUGGAGGCAAGCCUGAUGCAGCCAUGCCGCGUGUAUGAAGAAGGCCUGCGGGUUGUAAAGUACUUGCAGCGGGGAGGCGUUACCCGCAGAAGAAGCACCGGCUAACUCCGUGCCAGCAGCCGCGGUAAUUC